rnacentral:rRNA from 1 species
UACGUAGGGGGCAAGCGUUGUCCGGAAUCAUUGGGCGUAAAGCGCGUGUAGGCGGCCAUGUAGGUCCGUUGUGAAAACUCGAGGCUCAACCUCGAGACGCCGAUGGAAACCAUGUGGCUAGAGUCCGGAAGAGGAGAGUGGAAUUCCUGGUGUAGCGGUGAAAUGCGCAGAUAUCAGGAAGAACACCCGUGGCUAAGGCGGCUCUCUAGUACGGUACUGACGCUGAGACGCGAAAGCGUGGGGAGCGAACAGG